rnacentral:rRNA from 1 species
UAGUCUGCAACCCGACUACAUGAAGCUGGAAUCGCUAGUAAUCGCGGAUCAGAAUGCCGCGGUGAAUACGUUCCCGGGUCUUGUACACACCGCCCGUCACACCAUGGGAGUCGGAAAUGCCCGAAGUCUGUGACCCAACCAUUAAGGAGGGAGCAGCCGAAGGCAGGUCGGAUGACUGGGGUGAAGUCGUAACAAGGUAUC